UUCCGGUUGAUCCUGCCGGAGGCCAUUGCUAUCGGAGUCCGAUUUAGCCAUGCUAGUCGCACGGGUUUAGACCCGUGGCAGAUAGCUCAGUAACACGUGGCCGAACUACCCUACAGACCACAAUAACCUCGGGAAACUGAGGCUAAUGGUGGAUAUCGCAUUCACGCUUGAAUGCCGAAUGCGAGAAAUGCCCCGGCGCUGUAGGAUGUGGCUGCGGCCGAUUAGGUAGACGGUGGGGUAACGGCCCACCGUGCCAGUAAUCGGUACGGGUGGUGACAGCCAGAGCCCGGAGACGGUAUCUGAGACAAGAUACCGGGCCCUACGGGGCGCAGCAGGCGCGAAACCUUUACACUGCACGACAGUGCGAUAGGGGGACUCCGAGUGUGAGGGCAUAUAGCCCUCGCUUUUCUGCACCGUAAGGUGGUACAGGAAUAAGGACUGGGCAAGACCGGUGCCAGCCGCCGCGGU
rnacentral:rRNA from 1 species